rnacentral:rRNA from 1 species
CGGGUGAGUAACACGUGAGUAACCUGCCCUGCGCUGGGGGAUAACCCUCGGAAACGGGGGCUAAUACCGGAUGGUCACAUGGGUUCGCAUGGGUCUGUGUGGAAAGAGCUUCGGUUUGGCGUGGGAUGGGCUCGCGGCCUAUCAGCUUGUUGGUGGGGUGAUGGCCUACCAAGGCGAGGACGGGUAGCCGGCCUGAGAGGGCGACCGGCCACACUGGGACUGAGACACGGCCCAG